rnacentral:misc_RNA from 1 species
CUUGUACACACCGCCCGUCACACCAUGGGAGUUGGCCACGCCCGAAGUCGUUACUCCAACCGUUCGCGGAGGAGGAUGCCGAAGGCAGGGCUGAUGACUGGGGUGAAGUCGUAACAAGGUAGCCGUACCGGAAGGUGUGGCUGGAUCACCUCCUUUAAGGGAGACCUACCCGCUCAAAUUCUGAAAGCACAGUGCAAAUAAGGAUUGAGUUGGUCAUCCCAAGGUCGUUCGAGGUAUGAGUGUUAGGCUUUCAAACUAUUAAAGGUUCGGUUAUGGGCUAUUAGCUCAGGUGGUUAGAGCGCACCCCUGAUAAGGGUGAGGUCCCUGGUUCGAGUCCAGGAUGGCCCACCUUAGCGAUUAUUGCACGGGGGUUUAGCUCAGUUGGUAGAGCGCCUGCUUUGCAAGCAGGAUGUCAGCGGUUCGAGUCCGCUAACCUCCACUGGAGUUGAUAGAGCAAGAGAGGAAAGAUACAGCAACUUAUCUAGGAUUUGCUAGAGAGCCUGCUGGAUUAGUCCAGUCAGAACCAUGAAAACUGCAUAGUGAAAGAAGAUUUCUGUCAGGUAGUAGAGAUUUGCUUAGCU